AGGAGUGAUGGAUGUAGACCUAUUAACACUCCUAUGGAUCCCAAUGUUAAACUCCUUCCAGGACAGGGGGAGCCACUUAGUAAUCCUGAAAGGUAUAGACGACUUGUUGGAAAGUUGAAUUAUCUCACAGUGACUAGACCAAACAUCUCUUUCCCCGUGAGUAUUGUAAGUCAGUUUAUGACUUCCCCUUGUGAUAGUAAUUGGGAAGCAGUUGUUCGUAUUCUUCGAUAUAUAAAGUUAGCCCUCGGUAAAGGACUACUCUUUGAGGAUCAAGGUCAUGAGCAUAUCAUUGGAUAUACAGACGCUGAUGGGGCAAGAUCACCCUCUGACAGACGUUCGACAUCCGGAUGUUGUGUUUUAGUUGGAGG
rnacentral:misc_RNA from 1 species